AGAUCACGUUGAGGGAAACUUCUAAGCAAACACGUGUAUCUCUCAUAUGCUUCAUACAAUGAUUCUCCAACUUCCUGUUGAAAGUUAGAAAUCUUCUUUUUAGGCUU